rnacentral:lncRNA from 10 species
AGGGACGCCCCCACAGGUAGACGAAGAGGGUCCAGAGAAAGGUGGGGAUUCCCUAACCCCUUCUUUCUUGGCACAGACAGGCAGAGAACACCUCUUUUCUCACCCCUGGGCAGCCCCAGGAAGUCAAUCCUUCCACUAUUCCUGCUCCGUGCCUCUCUUCCCUCUGCCCAGAUUCCUGGGAGACUCAAAACCCUGUUCAACUCUCUCUGGGCUAGCUGCUCCCCUCCCCAAGAGGAUUUCUCUCCAGAGCUGGUAUCAUCGCUUAAUGAUGUUCCACCAACAAGGGGAAGGUUUCUUUUCUGGGAGCUGCUAUCACUGAAUACAUAAAGAAAUUGAGCCUAUAUGAUUUCAAUCUUCACCUUCUGAUGCUGAUGAAACAGGAUUCUAUGCAGAGAAAAUCCUCUCCAGUCAAGUAAUUGCAUCCAUUUCAUCUUCCCAGCCCUCCUCUAGAUGGGAGGUGGAGGUGUGUGUACCAAUCUCUUAAUUCAGAAAUGAGACAAGAGGAGGAAAAAGGAGUUCCGGAGGUGUGUGAUCCAAGUCUGGCUGCAGGCUAUGGACAUUCCAGGAGGGAGACUCCAUCAGAGAAGUGGAGCUGGAGUUGGGUGUUAGAGGGUAAAGGGAGGGUUUGAACAGGCAAGGGAUGGGGGAGGAGUGCCUUACAGUGGGAGAGGGAGAGGCUGCUUGAAAAAGCAUAGAGCUGUGAGUGAGCAUGCGUGCCCAAGGAGAGGGAGCCAGGCACUGCCAGGGUGCAGGUGGGGCAGACUGGCUAGGUGUGUGGCCAGGGUGUGGAAGGAACAUGCUAAGUGUGACAGUUAAUUUAUGUGUCAUCCUGGCUAGGCUAUGGUGCUCAGUUGUUUGGUGAAACAUCAGCCUAGAUGUUGCUUCAAAGGUAUUUAUUAAAUGUGUAAUUUAAAUCAUAGACUUUGAGUAAAGCUGAUCACCUUACGUAAUGUGAGUGGGUCUCGUCCAAUCAACUGAAGGCUUUAAGAGCAAAGACAAAGGUUUUUCAAAGAGAAAAAGAAGACUCUCCUCAAGACUGUGACAUAGAAACUCUGCCUGAAUUUCUAGCCUGCUGCCCUGCAGAAUUUAGAGUCAAGCCUACAACAUAACUCUUACCUGAAUUCUCAGGCUGCUGACUUACCCUGCAGAUUUUGGACUUGCCAGCCCCUCACAAUCCCAUGAGCCAAUUCCUUAAAAUAAAUCUCUCUUUUUCCCUCUGUAUAUAUUUAUGUCCUAUUGAUUUUGGUUCUCUGGAGAGCCCUGACUACUACACUGAGUGAAGGGAGGGCUUUGCUAAGUGAUCAUGGUCCCAAGGGCAGCCUCUGAGAGCCCGCUCCUUUUGCAGGAUAUUUGAAGACCAGACCUUGAGUCAAAUUCUGCAGCCAAAUUCAAUGCCCAUAAGACUUUCUGCUCAGAAGACGUCAUGCAAAGGGAAUCCCCAGGGCUCUUUAAAUUAGAUCUUCUGUUUGUGCAGACACGUGAUAAAUGUUUUGGGUACAGCCUGGCUCACACCACAUUUUCCACUUUUUGGGUGGAGUCAGUUUUAAUUGACAAGAAGUGCCUUUACAGGUGGACUUUUUUUUUGGUGGUGGAGGGGAGUAGUUAAAACCGAUGCUUUGCAUUCUGUUGGGCAGCAGAAAGAUUGCUUUUUCAAUAAGCAAGCCUUGGGUUUUUCUGAGCCAGUGGUAUGAGAAAUGCCUCUCCUGAAGGCCACCACGCAAGCGAGUCCCCACAGAAGCAUGCCCGAGCUGUCAGGUGCAGGGAGAAAUAUCUUUAGUAAGAGCCGGUCAUGUAAUGAGACUUCCCCACCACAGCAUAGAUGGGCAGAGGGGUUUCCACAAGGACAAUUCUUAAGAAUCUCUGUAAAAACGCAUGACUCCAUCUGUCUCCUCUCUCUUCUUUGGCUUCAGAUGAGCUGAGCCAUUUAAAAAUUCCCCAACAAGGGACCCCAGGCACCAGAAGAAGUGAUGAACAGAUUUUCAAUUUGGCCCUGAUUUGCAUAAAUUUUUUUUUUCUGGCAG